GAUGAACGCUGGCGGCGUGCCUAAUACAUGCAGGUCGAGCGAACAGACGAGGAGCUUGCUCCUCUGACGUUAGCGGCGGACGGGUGAGUAACACGUGGAUAACCUACCUAUAAGACUGGGAUAACUUCGGGAAACCGGAGCUAAUACCGGAUAAUAUAUUGAACCGCAUGGUUCAAUAGUGAAAGACGGUUUUGCUGUCACUUAUAGAUGGAUCCGCGCCGCAUUAGCUAGUUGGUAAGGUAACGGCUUACCAAGGCAACGAUGCGUAGCCGACCUGAGAGGGUGAUCGGCCACACUGGAACUGAGACACGGUCCAGACUCCUACGGGAGGCAGCAGUAGGGAAUCUUCCGCAAUGGGCGAAAGCCUGACGGAGCAACGCCGCGUGAGUGAUGAAGGUCUUCGGAUCGUAAAACUCUGUUAUUAGGGAAGAACAAAUGUGUAAGUAACUAUGCACGUCUUGACGGUACCUAAUCAGAAAGCCGCGGCUAACUACGUG
rnacentral:rRNA from 1 species